CGUCGCACCCGUGGGGGAUGUGGGUGUUUUAACACCCACACUUUUCCCGGUGAGAGGGUUCAACACCCACACUUUUUAUGCAGUUUUUCAAGAACGCCUUAUUAAGUCGCUCCUCCGUUUCUCUGGCCGCUCUCUGUCUGCUGCGCUGCGCUGCUUCCUCUCCCCCUCCCCUCUCAAACAUGACGCCGGCUUUGAGUGUUACCGGCUGAUGAUUGGCUGUUCUGCCUUAAGUCCCGCCUCUCUUGGUGGGUUAGAUUGAUCGGUCAGCUCGCGCUGAGGAGGCGGGAACUUAUGUUUAUUUACAUCUCCCUUUUUCAGUAUCAAUAAGAUACAGAAAAGAAAGAGGCAGGAGAAGAUUGACACCUUUUUCAAGAGAAAUCCUGAGAUGAGGUUGCUGGAGGCAUCAGUUUAAAGAGAGAGAGAGACACAUAAAGUUUCACAGGUGUGCAAUGAAAAAUGAAUGUUACAGUUUGUGAAAGAGGUCUAUGAAGGAAGAGAGCGUGUGUUUGUGUCAUGGGUGGUGCUUAAUUCCAUCCCAGGUGCACAUACGCCUGUUUCUGGUGUGUUUAUAUCAAAUUUAAAAUGAUAUAUAUCCAUCCCCCACACUUUUAAAAAGCUUGC